AACGAACGCUGGCGGCAGGCUUAACACAUGCAAGUCGAACGCGUGCAGCAAUGCACGAGUGGCGCACGGGUGAGUAACGAGUGGAUAUCUGCCUUUUGGUUCGGAAUAACCCCGGGAAACUGGGGCUAAUACCGGAUGGUUCCUACGGGAUAAAGAUUUAUCGCCAAAAGAUGAGUCCGCGUCCGAUUAGCUAGUUGGUGAGGUAAUGGCUCACCAAGGCGACGAUCGGUAGCUGGUCUGAGAGGACGAUCAGCCACACUGGGACUGAGACACGGCCCAGACUCCUACGGGAGGCAGCAGUGGGGAAUAUUGGACAAUGGGGGCAACCCUGAUCCAGCCAUGCCGCGUGAGUGAUGAAGGCCUUCGGGUUGUAAAGCUCUUUUGGCGGGGACGAUGAUGACGGUACCCGCAGAAUAAGCCCCGGUUAACUUCGUG
rnacentral:rRNA from 1 species